rnacentral:rRNA from 1 species
AUGGAGGUGGAGUCGAGCUCCCAUGGCGCCCGCGACGAGGCUGUGAGCAAGUUCUCGCUGCCGGUGGACUCGGAGCACAAGGCCAAGUCCUUCAGGCUCUUCUCCUUCGCCAACCCACACAUGCGCACCUUCCACCUCUCCUGGAUAUCCUUCUUCACCUGCUUCGUCUCCACCUUCGCCGCCGCGCCGCUCGUCCCCAUCAUCCGCGACAACCUCAACCUCGCCAAGGCCGACAUCGGCAACGCCGGGGUGGCGUCCGUGUCCGGGUCUAUCUUCUCCAGGCUCGCCAUGGGGGCCAUCUGCGAUCUCCUUGGUCCGCGCUAUGGCUGCGCCUUCCUCGUCAUGCUCGCGGCGCCGACCGUCUUCUGCAUGUCCCUCAUCGACGAUGCAGCUGGCUACAUCACCGUCCGCUUCCUCAUCGGCUUCUCCCUCGCGACGUUUGUGUCGUGUCAGUACUGGAUGAGCACCAUGUUCAAUAGCAAGAUCAUCGGCACUGUCAACGGCCUGGCGGCUGGUUGGGGCAACAUGGGUGGCGGUGCCACUCAGCUCAUCAUGCCACUCGUCUUCCACGCCAUCCAAAAGUGUGGUGCCACGCCCUUUGUAGCAUGGCGUAUUGCCUACUUUGUGCCGGGGAUGAUGCACAUCGUGAUGGGCUUGAUGGUGCUCACCAUGGGGCAAGAUCUCCCUGACGGCAACCUUGCGAGCCUCCAGAAGAAGGGAGACAUGGCCAAGGACAAGUUCUCCAAGGUUGUGUGGGGUGCUGUCACAAACUACCGUACGUGGAUCUUCGUCCUUCUGUACGGAUACUGCAUGGGUGUCGAGCUCACCACCGACAAUGUCAUCGCCGAGUACUACUUCGACCACUUCCACCUUGACCUCCGGACAUCCGGCACCAUCGCCGCCUGCUUCGGCAUGGCCAACAUCGUCGCUAGGCCCGUGGGUGGCUACCUCUCUGACCUCGGCGCCCGCUACUUCGGCAUGCGUGCCCGCCUCUGGAACAUCUGGAUCCUCCAGACCGCCGGUGGCGCUUUCUGCCUCUGGCUCGGCCGUGCGAAAGCCCUCCCUGAAUCCAUCACCGCCAUGGUCCUCUUCUCCAUCUGCGCCCAGGCCGCGUGCGGUGCAGUCUUUGGUGUCAUCCCCUUCGUCUCCCGCCGCUCCCUCGGCAUCAUUUCGGGCCUGAGUGGAGCUGGUGGGAACUUCGGCGCCGGGCUGACACAAUUGCUCUUUUUCACUUCGUCCAAGUAUGGCACGGGCAGGGGGCUUGAGUACAUGGGUAUCAUGAUCAUGGCCUGCACGCUCCCCGUGGCGCUCGUGCACUUCCCACAGUGGGGAUCCAUGCUCUUGCCGCCCAACGCCGACGCCACCGAGGAGGACUUCUAUGCCGCCGAGUGGUCGGAGGAGGAGAAGAAGAAGGGUCUCCAUAUCCCUGGCCAAAAGUUUGCCGAGAACUCCCGCUCAGAGCGCGGCAGGCGCAACGUCAUCCUUGCCACGGCCGCCACACCCCCCAACAACACUCCCCAGCACGCAUAA